rnacentral:rRNA from 1 species
UAACCUGCCUCUUAGCGGGGGAUAACUAUUGGAAACGAUAGCUAAUACCGCAUAAAAGUCGACAUUGCAUGAUGUUGACUUGAAAGGUGCAACUGCAUCACUAAGAGAUGGACCUGCGUUGUAUUAGCUAGUUGGUGAGGUAACGGCACACCAAGGCGACGAUACAUAGCCGACCUGAGAGGGUGAUCGGCCACACUGGGACUGAGACACGGCCCAG